rnacentral:rRNA from 1 species
GACGAACGCUGGCGGCGUGCUUAACACAUGCAAGUCGAACGCUGAAGCUCAGCUUUUGUUGGGUGGAUGAGUGGCGAACGGGUGAGUAACACGUGAGUAACCUGCCCCCUUCUUUGGGAUAACGCCCGGAAACGGGUGCUAAUACUGGAUAUUCACUUGUCUUCGCAUGGGGGUUGGUGGAAAGGGUUUUUCUGGUGGGGGAUGGGCUCGCGGCCUAUCAGCUUGUUGGUGGGGUGAUGGCCUACCAAGGCUUUGACGGGUAGCCGGCCUGAGAGGGUGACCGGUCACAUUGGGACUGAGAUACGGCCCAGACUCCUACGGGAGGCAGAAGUGGGGAAUAUUGCACAAUGGGCGCAAGCCUGAUGCAGCGACGCCGCGUGAGGGAUGGAGGCCUUCGGGUUGUGAACCUCUUUCGGUCAUGGUCAAGCCGCAACAAUGGUUGUGGUGAGGGUAGUGGGUAAAGAAGCGCCGGCUAACUACGUG